AACGUAGGUUCCGAGCGUUAUCCGGAUUUACUGGGCGUAAAGCGCGUUCAGGCGGUUCGGCAAGUCGGGCAUGAAAUCUCUCGGCUCAACUGGGGAGGGUCACUCGAUACUGAUCGACUCGAAGGCAGGAGAGGGUAGUGGAAUUCCCGGUGUAGUGGUGAAAUGCGUAGAUAUCGGGAGGAACACCAGUGGCGAAGGCGACUACCUGGCCUGUUCUUGACGCUGAGGCGCGAAAGCUAGGGGAGCAAACGGG
rnacentral:rRNA from 1 species